rnacentral:rRNA from 1 species
AUGAAGAAGUAAAAAGGCCACCUCGCUUUGCUGUAUAAGGCGCACGAAAAACUCAAGGAUGAACUCAAUGCGGUGCUGAACCACCCACUAAUGCCGUCAGAAUUUGAACAAGCAUGGAAGAACCUCAUUCAGAGGUACAACUUGCAAGAUGAUGAAGUGAUGAAUUUUCUUUGGGAUGACAGGCAUGAGUGGAUGUCAGCUUACUACAAGGAAAUUUUCUGUGCUCGGAUGACUUCCACACAGAGAAGCGAGAGCAUGAACCGCAUACUGAAGAAUUUUUUUGUCAAGGAGAAGCAUGAUCUCCAUCUGUUUGCUCAGCAGGUGGAUAAGUGCAUUCAGACCAGGAAGGCCGUCGAGCACGCAGAGAAAGUAGCAAAUGAGUCAGAGGUAAAAACAACAACCAAGUUUGGGUUCGAAGUUCAGCUAUCAAAAGUGUAUACAAGGGCAGUGUUUGCAGAUUUCAAAGAAACACUCUACCGUAGCACUGCAUUCAGAGCACGACGGUGCCCUGAGAACCUGACAAAGUAUCUCGUACACCACUACAACAGAUCAGAUGCAUUUUAUUGGGCAAGGCAUAAUUUCCAAGUGGUCACCGAUGAAGAGAAAUGUGUCUACGAAUGUGAGUGCAAACUCUGGACACACACAGGGCUCUUUUGCGUCCAUGUGUUAUGCAUGCUUUCUCAUUUGAGAGUACUCAAGAUUCCUGAGGUGUACAUCAUGAAAAGAUACACCCGUAAUGCAAGAUUAGAUGCAACCUUUGACAGAAGAGACUAUGAACAAACAACACCAGAUGGAACCUCGCUUUUUUGCCGUAGAAAAUUGCUGACAGAAACAACAAUGGACCUUGCAAACAGAGCGACAAGGUCCGACGCUGGCUGCCAUAGAGCGUUGUCUGGUAUGAGGGCACUGAUCGAGGAAGUUGACAUGCUCAACGAAGAAGAAGAAGAAGCAGCAAAACAAAAGCAAGCAGAGAAAUCCCAGCAUGACAAUAAUUCUGAGCAAGUAGAAAAUACUGGACACAACGGAACUGGUGCUAUAAAAAAAAGAAACAAUCCUUCCACCUCCCGUUUGAAACACAAGAGGAAGGAAGAAAGGGGGUGA